AACGAACGCUGGCGGCAGGCUUAACACAUGCAAGUCGAGCGCCCCGCAAGGGGAGCGGCAGACGGGUGAGUAACGCGUGGGAAUCUACCCAUCUCUACGGAAUAACGCAUGGAAACGUGUGCUAAUACCGAAUACGUCCUUGGGGAGACAGAUUUAUCAGAAAUGGAGGAGCCCGCGUUGGAUUAGCGAGUUGGGGGGGUAAAGGCCUACCAAGGCGACGAUCCAUAGCUGGUCUGAGAGGAGGAGCAGACACACUGGGACUGAGACACGGCCCAGACUCCUACGGGAGUCAGCAGUGGGAAAUGUUGGACAAUGGGCGCAAGCCUGAUCCAGCCAUGCCGCGUGAGUGAUGAAGGCCCUAGGGUUGUAAAGCUCUUUCACCUGUGAAGAUAGUGACGGUAACCGGAGGAGAAGCCCCGGCUAACUUCGUGCCAGCCGCCGCGGUAAGAC
rnacentral:rRNA from 1 species